rnacentral:rRNA from 1 species
GAUGAACGCUGGCGGCGUGCUUAACACAUGCAAGUCGAACGAAGCACUUUAUUUGAUUUCUUCGGAAUGAAGAUUUUGUGACUGAGUGGCGGACGGGUGAGUAACGCGUGGGUAACCUGCCUCAUACAGGGGGAUAACAGUUGGAAACGACUGCUAAUACCGCAUAAGCGCACAGGGUCGCAUGACCUGGUGUGAAAAACUCCGGUGGUAUGAGAUGGACCCGCGUCUGAUUAGCCAGUUGGUGGGGUAACGGCCUACCAAAGCGACGAUCAGUAGCCGACCUGAGAGGGUGACCGGCCACAUUGGGACUGAGACACGGCCCAAACUCCUACGGGAGGCAGCAGUGGGGAAUAUUGCACAAUGGGGGAAACCCUGAUGCAGCGACGCCGCGUGAGCGAAGAAGUAUUUCGGUAUGUAAAGCUCUAUCAGCAGGGAAGAAGAAAUGACGGUACCUGACUAAGAAGCACCGGCUAAAUACGUGCCAGCAGCCGCGGUAAUACGUAUGGUGCAAGCGUUAUCCGGAUUUACUGGGUGUAAAGGGAGCGCAGGCGGUACGGCAAGUCUGAUGUGAAAGCCCGGGGCUCAACCCCGGUACUGCAUUGGAAACUGUCGGACUAGAGUGUCGGAGGGGUAAGUGGAAUUCCUAGUGUAGCGGUGAAAUGCGUAGAUAUUAGGAGGAACACCAGUGGCGAAGGCGGCUUACUGGACGAUUACUGACGCUGAGGCUCGAAAGCGUGGGGAGCAAACAGGAUUAGAUACCCUGGUAGUCCACGCCGUAAACGAU